rnacentral:lncRNA from 1 species
UGUUGUGGUGUGUAUGCAAUUAUCAUGACUUGUUGUAAUGUUAUUCUGAGAACAGUGUUCUUAAUACAUCACAACAUAGAUCAUAAGAGUAAUAAUUUGAAUGUUGAAUUAAAUAGAUAGUUCUACUAUAGGGGGUUCGAACAUCUCAGAUUAAGUGGUUUUAGCAGUGCAUGUUUUCAUGUUGGUAAACAUCCAUAUAUAAUCGAAGUAACAAAGCUUAGCUCAGCUAACAAAUUCCCUGCAAAGUCAUACUUUCUUUUGCAUGAAAAACAGACUGAUGAGUUACAAGAUGUUGUUGAGUCAAAUACAAUGGAUAAACAACUUUUCUUCAUGUUAGAGAAUAAUCAAUAAAGAUCACACAGAAGAAAUGUUAUUGGGAUAUUUUAUAAAUUUUAUAUAAAUGAGAAAUAAAUAAAAUGGAAAGUCAGGGCAGAGAAUCAUAAAU